CAGUCGCCACGGUAAUACGAAGGGUGCAAGCGUUAAUCGGAAUUACUGGGCGUAAAGCGUGCGUAGGCGGUUUGUUAAGUCUGCUGUGAAAUCCCCGGGCUCAACCUGGGAAUGGCAGUGGGUACUGGCAAGCUAGAGUGUGUCAGAGGAUGGUGGAAUUCCCGGUGUAGCGGUGAAAUGCGUAGAGAUCGGGAGGAACAUCAGUGGCGAAGGCGGCCAUCUGGGACAACACUGACGCUGAGGCACGAAAGCGUGGGGAGCAAACAGGAUUAGAUACCCGCGUAGUCCAUGUCUCUUAUAC
rnacentral:rRNA from 1 species